CAUGAAGAUGAGGGAAAGGAAACAAGCGAUAAGUAAACAAGAUAAACACGCGUGAAUAGAUUAUGUGCCAUCAAUGUAUGAAAGUUCACCCUCAAUAUCGCUCUUGAAAUGUGAACUUUCAUACAUUGAUGGCACAUAAUAUAUUCAUGCUUGUUUAUCUUGUUUACUUAUCGCGUGCUUCCUUUCCCUCAUCUUCCUCC
rnacentral:pre_miRNA from 1 species